rnacentral:rRNA from 1 species
GCCCAGCCGUAAACAAUUAACUUACAUCUACAAACGCCAGGGAAUUACGAGCUACGCUUAAAACCCAAAGGAUUUGACGGUGUCCCACCCACCUAGAGGAGCCUGUUCUAUAAUCGAUAAUACCCGCUAUACCCAACCACCUCUUGCUAUUCAGUCUGUAUACCUCCGUCGAAAGCUUACCAUGUGAACGCCUACAGUGAGUACAAUUACCCCCAACGUCAACACGUCAGGUCAAGGUGCAGCUUAAGGGGUGGAAAGAAAUGGGCAUCAAUUUCUAAUCUAGAACAAACGAAAGACUAUGGUGAAAUCAUGGUACUGAAGGCGGAUUUAGCAGUAAAAAGAAAAUAGAGCGUUCUUUUUAACCUGGCUCUGGGACGCGUACACACCGCCCGUCACCCUCUUCAAUAGUAUCAUCACCAGUUCAUAACCAGUUUUUACAUCUUAGAAGAGGCAAGUCGUAACAUGGUAAGUGUACUGGAAAGUGCACUUGGAAUAUAACAAAAUGUAGCUUAA